rnacentral:tRNA from 1 species
GAUUUUUUGGUGCAUUGGCAGCCCAAUGAUCUUCAAAAGCGAAGGUCAUGGGUUCGAGUCUCACUUGGAGCA